CAAGGUCCCAAGUUCGAUCCCUGGUACCACCCCCCCCCAAAAAAACCCAAAAAACAAACAAAAAACUAUGGUGGGGAAAUGGAUAAAGAUGACAAACUAAGCUUUACAUCUAUGUCCCCUCUAAUCCCACUGAAAAACCCUGGAGACACUGCCUUGAAAGAAAUACUAUAUUUGAAAAAUUCCUGAAGAUAGAGAGAAUAUAGGACAAGAUUGAUGGGAAAAUCUAAGGCAGAGGAAUCCAUUGUCCAAAUGACACAUAAGAGGAAACAACGGUACAGCCUAGGUGAUGAAAUGAAAUGGAUGUCACACCCAGACUUCAGGAGAGCGCCCGGUCUAAAGUGAAGCUGGCUCAGCAAGGGGAGUUGCGAAGUCCUGACUGAGUGGACAAAGAGAAGAAAUCAACAGAUCAAGUAAGCAAAACAAAGAAUUUUGAAUAACACAGGUGCAGGGAUCAAACCUGGAUUCUCACACAUGCUAGACCCCCAGCACUGAAGACUGAGCCCAGUGCCUUUGGUUUUCCCCAUUUUUUUCGUUUGUUUGUGAGUUCACUUGGUCUUCGGCGCUGGGGAUUGAACCUCGAGCAUGUUGGGCUGUUUGUGUUCCUGUUGAAGCAGUGUAUAUGGAAAGUCUUUGGACAGCUUGAAUGAUAGUGUAGGGAAAGUUGGGGACAGGCAGGGAAAGUUAAAGGACCUCAGGGAGAUUUCUGGCAAAUAAAGAGUUAAACCCCUGCUAGGGAGAAUAGCUAAGAAAAACAGAGAGAGCUGAUAAGGCUGUUCUGGCUCACUUCAGACAACACUGAACUCCUCCUCCCUCCACCUCCAGACAGGAACGACACAGUGAAGGUAGAGUUGGGAGCAGAGGUGGCAAUUCACCAAAUCAGAACGACCCUAACCGGCCACAGUGGAAAGCUCCUGGCGAAGAUGUGCGAACGGACCAGUUCAGAUCCCCACCAAGAUUCCGAGACUCACUCUGUGGAAAGCUUGUGGUGAAGGCUCCAAGACUCAGAGAAUCAAGAAGAGUCCGCAGGGA